rnacentral:rRNA from 1 species
AGUGAACGCUGGCGGUAGGCUUAACACAUGCAAGUCGAACGGCAGCACAGUAAGAGCUUGCUAUUACGGGUGGCGAGUGGCGGAAGGGUGAGGAAUACAUCGGGAUCUACGUUUUCGCGGGGGGUAACGUAGGGAAACACACGCUAAUACCGGAUAAGACAUACGGGUGAAAGCAGGGGAUCUUCGGACCUUGCGCGAUUGAAUGAGCCGAUGUCGGAUUAGCUAGUUGGCGGGGUAAAGGCCUACCAAGCCGACGAUCCGUAGCUGGUCUCAGAGGACGAGCAGCCACACUGGGACUGAGACACGGCCCAGACUCCUACGGGAGGCAGCAGUGGGGAAUUUUGGACAAUGGGCGCAAGCCUGAUCCAGCAAUGCCGCGUGCGGGAAGAAGGCCUUCGGGUUGUACACCGCUUUUGUACAGAACGAAAAGGCUCUGGCUAAUACCUGGGGCUGAUGACGGUACCGUAAGAAUAAGCACCGGCUAACUACGUG